rnacentral:tRNA from 1 species
GCGCGAAUGGUGAAAUUGGAGACACGCUAGAUUUAGGGCUCUAGUGCUUUAAACAGCGUGAGGGUUCGAGUCCCUCUUCGCGCACCA